GUCCUCCGACAUGGCAGUAAACUCUGGUCACUCAUUAGUACAGUUUGAGCCAGAAGCGGAGGAGGCUGCAUCGCCUUUGAAUACAGAGGAGGAUGACACAUGGCGAAAAGUGAAAUCUAGACGUGCCCUGCACAGGGUAACUGGAUCGAUAGCACAUCCAGGGAUGACUCUUCCACAUCCUGGAGGGAUAGGUCCUGAGAAGGUCUUGCACCUGUGCACCAGAAGCCAUGAAGAAGAAUGUUCACAGCAAAGAUCUGGAAACAAUUCAAAUGACCACCAAGAGGAAAAGGAGUAAAUUCUUAAGUUGUGGGAUAGUCCUGCAACGGAAGACCAUUUGGCAGUGAAAUGGAAUGAAUGAACCACAGCUACACAGGUCAAUAUGGAUGCAUCUCAAAAACAUAUUAUUGAGUGAAAAAAAGGAAAGUCACAGCCUGAAAGAGAAAAGGGGCAUCCAUGUCUGCUCUGCGCUUCUCACAUCCGUUCCUUCCCUGGCCGAGCUCUAAGGUCUCUCCCCGCUGGGUGAGAGUCAGAGGAUGAGCUUCUCUUUGUAAUUCGUCCUUGCAGCAUAUAUUCACGGCUCCUGUACAGGGAAAAUUACGGUGGGCUUUUGCCACCAGAAGACCCUGCAUCAACAGCUGUGCUGCACUGGGAGCCUUGAGAACACACUGGUGAGCCUGAGAACGGGUGGAUGCUGAAUGAACAGGGUUUCCAGCUCAGCCUGGGUGGAGAGCGGAGCCCUCCAUUCUGAUGAGAAUGGUGUCAUCACGUCGAGGCCCAAAUUGCACCCCUCACAUAAAACUGCCUCCUCUUCUCUCUUUCCUGCUUAUCCUUCUCUGGGAAGCAACGGCAUCCAACCGGUUUUUCUCCAUGGUGCUUUGUGUACUUCCUCCUGCACUUGCAGGGCAGCAGGUGAUCACGCCAAGUGUAUCUGGUGGAACGUCUGCAGUCUAACUCUGAGCAGUGGUUACAGAUCUCUGGGAGACGUGCCUGCAGGGGUGGUGUGUGCACGUGCGGUAUCAACAGCCAUCAGUGCGCAUGGAUGGAAAGUGCCGUCUGCGGAGAUUCAGGCGAUCAAACCUGAUGUCCCCCUGCGCCUGGAAAGGGAAUCUCUGGGAGACAGGAAGGAAGGAGAUUUUCAUCAUAACCACUCUGUCAUCUUCAUUUCUCAUCUUAGUAUAUACUUCACCAAAAACUUGGCAAUGACAGAGUUUCCUGGUUCAUCUAGGAAAGAUGACCACCUGGACCCAGAAAGUGUCUGUGUCCACAAAGCACUGCAGGUUAACGUCCUAAAGUUGGUUUCAGCUGUUACGUAGCUAGGUUUGGGGUCAAGGGAAGGUUUUAAAUUUUUUUCAAGCGCAAUGUCAUUUGCAAAAUCCUGCAGCUCCCACUAACUUUAGCCUGACUCCGUCGGCAUGUGAAGAUGGGUCUGACAGUUGGGAGCCUCAUCCCAGAUGAGGCCUUGAAGAGUUUGAUACCAGGCUAGGCUUUAUCCAAUGAUACGGAAUGUUUUUCUUCUAAGCAGACCCAUUCCCGGUGGCCUUUAAAAGAAACCAUCUUUUGAUGAUCAUUAUGCAACUACAGAUGUUAUAAAUUCAUUUGAGUCAUAAAAAAAUUAAAUUAGAACAAAAUAAAAGAAACCAUCUCCUGGUUAUCCUUGGCAGAAGUAGGAACACUUUUAAAGGAUUCUUUUUUUUUUUUUUUUUUUUUUUUUGUCUUUUUGUCCUUUUAGGGCCACACCCACGGCACAGGGAGAUUCCCAGGCUAGGGGUCCAAUCCGAGCCAUAGCCGCCGGCUUACACCACAGCCACAGCAACGCCAGAUCCGAGCCGCGUCUGUGACCUACACCACAGCUCAUGGAAACGCUGGAUCCUGAACUCACUGAGCAAGGCCAGGGAUCGAACCUGCAACCUCAUGGUUCCUAGUCGGAUUCUCUUCCAUGGCGCCAUGACGGGAACUCCUAAAGAACUCAUUUUUGCAUUUGGCCCGUGUUUGGGAGAAAAGGUCUAUUAUGUUGAGGGCUAUGGGGGAAAUUACAGGGAAAUUCCUCCCUGGCUCCUCCUUUGUUUCUCUCACUGAAAUCCAGCGAUGUUAUAAAGAACCUCAGCUUCAUUCCUCCAGAGAGAGAAUUUCCAGAAGAAAGGACGCCUCCUCUUCUUUUAAAAUACUUAAUCCUGUGAAGCUGUCCUGCUACAGUGCAGAGCACGAGCAGCAGUGAACACUUAGUGGAAAAGGCAAACACUUUUCAAAAAUGAGUUUCUCUUAGCUACCCAUUUCUACAGAAUGAGACUUUGGGAUAUAAUGAAGUUCUUUCUAGAAGAUAAAAAUGAGUAAUUUACUUUACAGUGAUCAUAAAUCUUAAUGACAACAUCUUUUUGUUUAAAAAGCCUAUUACUAUGACUCUAUUACAGAGACAUAAAAUGUCCUGGUAAAUAAGGAUAGAUAUGCGAAAAAGAGCAAAAAUAUGAAAGUGAAAUAUCAAUGUCUAUUGACAGAAGGCAGCUGAAUAAAUUAUGAUUCAUCCAUCCAAUGUAAUAUUACACGACUAUUAAGAAGUCAAGUUUGAUCUAUGUAUGUUGCCUGGGAAGAUGUUUAUGAUGUUGUUAUGAGGAAAAACAAGUUUGCAGUGCUUUGUAUGAUAUGAUGCCACCGUUUUUUAAAGGUGCAAAUCCCACACAUGUGAAUAUAUGUUUGUUUGAACCUAGUGAAUGGACGAAAAGAUUCAUACCAGCCUUUAACUCUUGCUUUUUCUUGUGGUUGUUCUGGGGGCAGAGCUGGAAAGAAGUUAUUCAUUUUGC
rnacentral:lncRNA from 1 species